rnacentral:rRNA from 1 species
CUCAGUUCGGAUCGGAGUCUGCAACCCGACUCCGUGAAGCUGGAUUCGCUAGUAAUCGCGCAUCAGCCACGGCGCGGUGAAUACGUUCCCGGGCCUUGUACACACCGCCCGUCAAGCCAUGGAAGCCGGGAGUGCCUGAAGUGCGUGACCGCAAGGAGCGUCCUAAGGCAAUACCGGUGACUGGGGCUAAGUCGUAACAAGGUAUC